rnacentral:pre_miRNA from 1 species
AUCAUAAUACCCACGCUUUUUGCGCCAUUUCAUUGCAGAAACGGAGAAUUGACCUUCUCACCAUACUAAAAUUCAGCUCAUUACUACAAUUCUAGUUACUACAUUUGUAGUAAUGAGCUGAAUUUUAGUAUGGUGAGAUGGUCAAUUCUCCGUUUCUACAAUGAAAUGGUGCAAAAAGCGUGGGUAUUAUGAU